ACCUGUACGCUGCAGAGUUCCCUUAUACCAUCCGUCAUCACGUUUUUUAUGCACAUGUAUUAUAUCCCCAACCCGAAGUUCUAAUUCAAAUUCACUAUUUGGAGGGUACGGUACGAUGCAACGAAAUCGAUAUACUCGAUCUCUGUAAAAAAUUAUUGAAUGUUUGAGCAGCUGUCAAAAAUUAACUGCAGUAGAGGAGACUACUACAUCUAAUCGUGCCAGCAUCUAAGGAAUUACUUUUACGAUGAUGACUGCCCAUUACAGCAUGGGCAACGCCAUUGUCGCCAGCCCUGCAAACAAAGCAUUAAAAAUUCGUUUUUUGCAAAGAAUCAGAGACAACACGUAUCAUCGGAGUACAAAUUAUACAGAUAGUUUUCAAGUAUUGUAUUGCAUUGCCAAAAUCGAAUCAAAGUGCAAACGAGGUCGAAAAUAGCAAAGGUUCCCUAGAUUAAGGUUUGAAUAAGCUGAUGGUGAUGUUUACCUUGUAUGGAACAUUCUCAGCAAGACGAACAAAUUCGAGCAAUAAAUAUGAAAAUAACAAAUGCAAGUAACAUUCUAUUUACGGUGCAUUGAUAAAUAGCAAUACUGUAUAGUUCAGAUCAGUCUUAUGUUUACGAACAAAAAAUUGCCAAUACAAAUACAGCAAGACUCAACAUUUCGAUGUCUCUAGAUGUCUAUUAGAGAUUUUGAUAACCUUAACUUACCUUAUUUCAUAGCAUUCAUGUAUUUAGGCUACUUCACGUAAUUUUAAAUGAAAAUAAUAUACAAUCGA